rnacentral:rRNA from 1 species
CCUACGGGAGGCAGCAGUCGAGAAUCUUCGGCAAUGGACGCAAGUCUGACCGAGCGACGCCGCGUGCGGGAUGAAGGCCUUCGGGUUGUAAACCGCUGUCAGAGGGGAUGAAGUGUACGGGAGUUAUCUCCUGUAUUUGACAGAGCCUCAGAGGAAGCACGGGCUAAGUUCGUGCCAGCAGCCGCGGUAAUACGAACUGUGCGAACGUUAUUCGGAAUCACUGGGCUUAAAGGGUGCGUAGGCGGCUGCCUAAGUCAGGUGUGAAAUCUCUCGGCUCAACCGGGAAACUGCGCUUGAUACUGGGCGGUUAGAGUGAGGUAGGGGUGUGUGGAACUUCCGGUGGAGCGGUGAAAUGUGUAGAUAUCGGAAGGAACGCCAGCAGCGAAAGCGGCACACUGGGCCUUUUCUGACGCUGAGGCACGAAAGCUAGGGGAGCGAACGGGAUUAGAUACCCCGGUAGUCCUAGCCGUAAACACUGAACACACGAGGAGGGCGUCGUCUCUCUCUAGCGAGACGUAGUGUCGUCGNGGAGUAGUGUGCGAGNGUGUACGUUACGAAGUAGUUAGUUAGUACGCGNGAGACGNGCGACGGCGACGACGAGGAGGAGG